rnacentral:piRNA from 1 species
UUCAUCUCGUUCCAAAAUUCA